CAGCUCCUUCCUAAGAUUGAACGGCCUCAUUAGUGAGCCACCGCUGCAGGUGCGACUACUCAAUACUAUCGGCAACAGGUUGACUCGUGGCUCUCAAACAGGAGUUGAGCUCCUGUUCAACCCCAAAAAACAUUUCAAUACUCAGCUUCCUCUUUUUUUUUUUUUUUUUUUUAAAUUCUAGUCUUUGUAUGAAAUACAAAGCCCACCAUAGUUAGUCUUAAUUUUUCACCCUUCAUUUAGUCAGUGUGGUUAAAAAAAUAAUAAUCUCAAAAACUACUCUGAGCAAAGUGAGGGCUUCCCGGUCCUGAUUCGGCAAUGCUGUCUGAAAACAAACUCCAAGUAUUGUUUGUAAAACAAUGCUGCAUAUGAGUUCCUAUGGGUUGAGGCGGCACAUUCGAUGUCCAAAGAAAUUUGGAGAAAGCACAAAGGAAAGGAGUUACAUGCUGGCACCCAAAAAUGAUCUGGACAUGUGGAGCGAGCAGAAAGAAGAAGAUCGUGUGCAAAGAAAGCUGGACAGCAGGAGCCAGCAGUGCGUGAAAGUAACCACCUUCCGCGGAGAAGACUCUCACACCUCCGUUCAGGACAAUAAUGGCCCCAACAAUGGGCUUCCCACUCUUAUCUCUCACGAUUCCCCGCACACCUUUA